GACUCAAUAUGGGGGAUCACUUAGUCCUUAAAGCGAUGAAAAACAUAGUAAUUUGUGGAAAUUGAUGUGAGUUGUGAAAUUUUGUGAGCAUUGUGUUUUUGAAUGAAAAUUUCAGCAUGGACACAUU
rnacentral:rRNA from 1 species